AGGCAGCUGUCUGCUGAAGAUAUGACUGUGAUUCAGUGUUCCGCGGCAGUACAAUCACCCCCUCUCCCCCACCAUCCAAAAUCACCCUCCAAUGCGGUCUCGGCUACAACCUUGGUUUCUUCUUCUUCUUCUUCUUCUUCAUCUUCAUCUUCAUCUUCGCCAAAAACAAGUAGAAGAGCAGCUCUAUCUCUCUCUCUAUUCUCCACUGCUUUCCCAACACUUGUUUUCUCGUCUUCUGCUGCUUCUUCUUCAAAGUCCGCUGCAUUGGAGUUCUCCGAGCUCCCCAAUUCAGGCGGCGUUAAGGUAUUGGACCUCCGCUUUGGUUCCGGAGAUGUACCGCGGGAUGGCGACCAGGUCAUUAUUCUCUAAUAACGCUAAUUAUACAUUUCAUAUUGAAUUUAAACCUCUUACAUAAUAUUGAUUCAGUUUUUCUCGCAUUCUAAGGCUCCGAUUGAAGUGAUAGAAAAUAUUGAAAUCUUCUAAAUCCGCUGCCGAAGUGAUAAGAAAUUUUUGUUGCGACUCAUCACUCUAACAACUAACUUCGUGCUGUGUUACCUUAAAUCUUAAAAUGUAAGAUUUGUGUGGUAAAAUGGUAAGGAAAAUUGUGAAAUUGACAAGGGGCAGGAAGUGGAUACAAUCAGUGAGACUGCUACAGAACUUUCUAGUGCCGACUUUAGCCAAUGUCAGGUAGCAAUUUACAAUAAAAAAGAAUAAUAAUAUUAAUUCACCAAAUACCGUCCUUCUCACCGUGAUUAUUUACCUUACAUGUAUACAUGUAGUUACAAGCUCAUUGAUCUGUUUUUAUCUGGCUCCUGCAUGAGGGACAUGGCUUUCAAUGUGUUUUGGAACUGUGGCUCUAUGUAACUUACAAUGGUGCACUUAAUUGACAAGUAAAUCAGUAUGUGUAUUCGGACUCAUGACUAUUGCAGCCUAUGACCAAAACCAUUGGAUGAUGACUGCUAUAUAUUUUUUCAUACCUCCAACAACGGAAGUCUUGCAUUUUGCAGCAUUUUUUAGAUAGUAUGAUAUGCAAGAGGUAGAGUAUUUAUCUUUAUGACUUCAGAUAUAUCUUCUGUAAAAUCGAGAAUUAGGAUAUGGCAGACCAUCCAUUAAUCCAUCAAUUUUUGAGUUUGAAUGUGAAGGUUGCAGUCCAUUACUAUGGAAGAUUGGCAGCAAAACAAGGUUGGCGCUUUGAUUCAACAUAUGAUCACAAAGAUGAAAAUGGUGAACCAAUUCCAUUUGUGUUUUUCCUUGGCUCUGGGAAAGGAUAGAAGCAGCUGUGAGAUCAAUGAAAGUAGGUGGUAUUCGUAGAGUCGUCAUCCCUCCAUCCCAAGGGUAUCAGAGCACCUCACAGGAGCCGAUACCACCUAAUUAUUUUGACAGGCAGAGGCUGUUUACUACCAUUUUCAAUCCAACUCGUCUUGCCAAUGGAGAAGGCUCAACAUUGGGGACUCUCAUAUUUGAUAUUGAGUUGGUCAGUCUAAGGCAUCAGUGAAGUAGAAUACUGUAAACAGCUUUGCUUUUUACAGCGCUAGCUUAUUAUAAAUGUUGUUCUACAUGAUUGGAAAUCAGACUUGUGACAGCCUCUAGGCUCUAGGUAUAAUAUUUUCUCAUAAAGGUUAGGGACACAACCCCAUGUACAAGGGUCCGUGUCCCUAGCAAGACUCAUAUUUUGUCGAAACUGCAAUGUACAGACUGAUUGGCAACGUCCAAAUACCAAAAUGGAUUGUUUAUAGUUUAUUCCACUAUGAUGGGAUAUGAUUUUGGGGGUGAUUUUUUACUUACCAAAAUGUUCUUUUCUACAAGACUUAUCACAAGUACAUUGGCGCGCGAGAAUGCAGGGUUGUUUCAGGCUUCGGGGGUCCAAUAUGAGGGCAUCAUAUAUCACUUGGUGCCAGACAGACAUCUUAUCUGUUCUUACAAGAGACAAUGUAACGUGCAGAAAUCUUGUUGCAAGGACCACUUCCUCCAAACUUUCUGGGUCGGAGUUCCCUCGAGGGUAUGCCUUCUCAUUUCCAUUAAUUCCAUUUCAAAAACCGUGAGUAGAGAUUGAUGGUUUGAAAUUUGUCAAUAUGAUAAAUAAUGCUACUUACCAUUUUGUGAUGUGCCGUUAAAUGAUUGAAGAUGA